rnacentral:rRNA from 1 species
UACAGAGACCUCAAGCGUUAUCCGGAAUCAUUGGGCGUAAAGCGUACCGAUAGGUGGUUUAGAAAGUUUUGGGUAAAAGCCAGAAGCUCAACUUCUGAGUUUGCUCAAAAUACUUCUCAACUAGAGGGGCAAAGAGGUCCUUGGAACGAACGGUGUAGUAGUGAAAUGCGUUGAUAUCGUUCGGAACACCGAAAGCGAAGGCAGAGGACUGGGUGCCACCUGACACUACUAGGACGAAAACGUGGGGAGCGAAUGGG